GUAGAAUCUCUUCAUCUUUCUCUUUAGUGAUCUUGUAUUUGUUUACUGCCUAGCAGUUCUUUCUCAGCCAGGGUCCCCUUUCCUGAGAUGAAUUUAUUCUAGAUCCAGACCAACUCUUAUGAUAUGUUUACUUUUAAUGUUGAACUCUUCUGCUGCAAGAGCAAUUUCAGUAUGUGUUUGAGUGUCUCUUUUCUCUCCUCCCUCCCUCCCUUCCUUUUCCCUCCCCCUUUUCUCCCUCCACCUAUCUACCUCUCUCGCUCUCUUUCUUUCUUUCCUCAGGCUCUUAUUUAGCCCAGGCUAACCUUGAGCUCACGAUGUAGCUGAGGCUAGCCCUCAGCUCUUGGUUCUCCUGCCUCUACCUUCACACUGCUGAGUUUACAGACAUGCAACACCACACCUGGCUUUUGAAGACUGCCACUUUUUAUAUAGACAAGAACUUUUCAAAGUCCCAAUUCCUGGAAUGAAACAACAGUGAUGUUAUUAACAGUUAUUGUGGUAGAUGGCUUCUGGAAAGUUUUUCCUUGGCUUACUCCAAGGAAAAGUUGUUUUUCUAGAUGACUUAAAAAAAAUAGACACAUUAAAUUUGUUGAGAUCUAGUAGUGAAAAUCUUGAUUUUCUUACUGUACCCAGAGUAAAGAAUCCUUGAGUUCUUGAUUCAAGUUGCUGAGUAACAUUGAAAAUUUGGGGGAUAUAUUUUACAAGUCAGAUGCAUACGUUAUAGCAGUAAUUGACUGAGCAGCCAAAAACAGUGUUUGGUGAAAUGAACAGUCACUUAAGCCCUCUCACCCUGAAGCGCUGAGCUUAGACUAAGGACCUGGCCUGUGCACGAGCUGCACACUCAGCCUGAUUGAGACUUGAAAAGUAACUACGUGUGAUGUAACAGGUUUUGUAUCCUAAUUGGUAUUACGCUAGUCUCAUUCAAAUCCAUUUUCCUAAAACAAAC
rnacentral:lncRNA from 1 species